CCUAGGGCUGCUCUCAUAAACUGUAGAGUAUCAUAGUUAAGGAUAAAUCGAAGUAGCUGGCAAUUAUUUCACUACAGUAUUAUUCUUUAUCAUUUAUCAAAAUGAUUUUACGUGCGUGCUGACUGCUGAUGUCUUGUCUGCAUGGUCGUACCUUUCAUCUAUCGUAACGGCCCAACGCGUAUUCCACGUGCUCUAAUUUGAUCGAUACUCGUAGUUUAUAUUAUACUCAGCAACAAUUUGAAUGCAUAUUCUCAGCCAUUCAUAAAUUCAAGGUGUUUGAUUAAAAGAGCCCAAGAAUAGUUUGAAAUCGGAAUAUUUUUGGAUCUCGUUAUCAUCUCCUUACAGCCUAAGUUGGUACUGGAUCACGCCUAGUGGUCGCAAUACAACUUCGUGCUUAGGAACCGGAAGGGUAGCAGAAUAUACUGAAAGCACUAGAGGGGAAGCUUAUGGAUUUAAACAAGUUGGAUGGAGAGAAAAGCGCCUCCGCAUGCAGUGUAUCGCCGCUAAACAGAUGCCGGCUUGCAUUGGUCCAAGACAUGUAUAAUGUUGCUAAACGGUUGUCGGAGAUAACAUCGGAGCACAUUUUAAAGGAUUUUACACAGAUUUGUUUUAAACCGACUAUGGAGCCUGUCAUUUUUACUGAAAGCGAAGGUAAGCUGUUCAUCCGACAAACAUUCAUUCUAAGCUGGAAUACCUCAGCAUCUUUGAGCUACCGAUCGCAUCAAGUUUACGGCAGCAGCGGAUCGGAUAAGAAGUUACUAUUCACAACUUCACAAAAAUGUUUGUUUGGUUCUGAAAGCUCUGUACGGUUGUGAACAAGUCGGAUGAAUGUAUCAUUUAUCUCAGGUAAUAUUUCUGACAUAAUAACGACCACAGAGUUCCAUGUGCAGAUGGUGCCGGCAUUCACCAAACAGAUAUUGAGUGGACUGUGUAUGAUACACGAGCACGGUAUCGUACACAGGCAUAUCCGGUGUUCCAAUAUCCUGGUGCAACAGCGUCGAACAGGAGGAGCUAAAAGAAUCACACCGAAAAUCACCCACUUUAAAAAAUCGUCAAUUGAUUGGAUACCAAAGUUUGAACACCAUAAUAUAGAAUUUGCUGUCACCGUUCUUGUUUAGAGUGGGUCAUGUUUGGUUAACUCAGAUCGAGUUUGGGCAACCGAAACUGGAUUUGCUAAACAAUGCCCACAGACGUGUUUAAUUCUCCAAGUGCUCUUCCCAAACGAACAAGACUGAACUAACUUUAUUUUCUCUUGUCGCUGCUAAAUGUUUUGGUAUGUGGAUCGGCGACAAGGCAAUUAAUGCCGUGCUGUCAUCCGUUGGAAGGAUUCGGAAUCUGCUAUCAUCCUGUGGGAUUUAUGAAUGUACCUUUGAUGAUGCACUUUCAGGAUUGUUAACUUACCUGCUCCGGCAGAUUUUCGCGUGCCGCUUGUUGACUUCUUUGCACUGGAUGUGUGUGCUUACUGUUUUACUUUUUCAGUAAAAAAUUUUUGCGUUUUUUUAGCUGAUUUCCAUUUUUUAAUCUUACAUUGUAACCAUUAUGAAUGGACAUGUCGU